UGCGUAGGCGGUUAGUUAAGUCUGUCGUGAAAUCCCCGGGCUCAACCUGGGAAUGGCGAUGGAUACUGGCUAGCUAGAGUGUGUCAGAGGAUGGUGGAAUUUCCGGUGUAGCGGUGAAAUGCGUAGAGAUCGGAAGGAACAUCAGUGGCGAAGGCGGCCAUCUGGGACAACACUGACGCUCAAGCACGAAAGCGUGGGAGCAAACA
rnacentral:rRNA from 1 species